GAUUAUAUACCUGCUACUUGGGAUGAUUUGAAACUUGCCAUGCGACAUACUUUCGUCCCUGCUUAUUAUACUCGUGACAUGAUUAAGAAGUUGCAACACUUAAAACAAGGUAGUGAAACUGUAACAAAAUAUUAUGAUGAUUUACAAACUACCUUGUUGCAUUCCUCUUUAGAAGAAAGUGAAGAUGAUUUUAUGGAUAGAUUUUGGGGAGGAUUAAACCGUGAUAUUCAAGAGAUACUAAUUCAUGAAGAGUGUUAUCCUAUGGACCAUUUGUUUCAUCUUGCUUGCAAAGCUGAACAGGAAAUAAAACGACGUGUUGUCCACGAGGAGAACAAGCGCACGGUGCACAUUCCAAGAGUUGAUAUGAUUGUUUCUUCAACUACUAGGCAUACUAUGACAACC
rnacentral:rRNA from 1 species